rnacentral:rRNA from 1 species
CAGUAGCCGCGGUAAUACCAGCAGCCCAAGUGGUGGUCGCGAUUAUUGGGCCUAAAGCGCUCGUAGCCGGGCCGGUAAGUCCCUUGUGAAAUCGGACGGCCUAACCGUUCGGCGUGCAAGGGAUACUGUCGGUCUUGAGGCCGGGAGACGUCCGUGGUACUCCGGGGGUAGCGGUGAAAUGUUCUGAUCCUCGGGGGACCACCGGUGGCGAAGGCGUUCGACGAGAACGGGCCUGACGGUGAGGGGCGAAGGCUAGGGGAGCAAACGGGAUUAGAUACCCCGGUAGUCCCUGUCUCUUAUA